rnacentral:lncRNA from 1 species
GUUUGAGAAUACAGAUGCAAAAUUACUUGUGAAUUUACUUGCUCAUUUUUCCAAAGGAUGUAAUCUGUACACUUAGAAGUAUUUCACUCACAUGGGGCUCUUUGUAGCAACACAAACCGAACAAGCUAUUUCUGAAACUCAUAUUUAACUGUGAUUUGAUAUCAUCUUGAUUUUCUUAAUUUUUUUUAAAAUUGUGAUAAAAUACACAACAUAAUAUUUACCAUCUUAACCAUUUUUAAAUGUACAGUUCAGUGGCAGUGAGUACAUUCACAUUGUUAUAUAACAAUCACUACCCUCCAGCUCCAGAAUCUUUUCAACUUGCAAAACGGAAAUACUGACACAUUAAACAGUAACUCCCAUUUCCCCUUUCCCCCAGUGCCUGGCAACCACCAUUUACUUUCUGUCUCUAUGAAUUUUACUACUCUAGACACCUUAUAGAGUGGAAUUGCUCAGUAUUAUUCUUUACUGACUGGCUUCUUUCACUUAGCGUAGUGUUUUCUGGCUCAUCCGUGUCAUGGCAUGUGGCAGUAUUUCUUUCGCCCGGGCACUUUGGGAGGCUAAGAUGGAGAGGCUGAGAGUUGAAGACCAGCCUGGGUAACAUUGCAAGACCCCCAUCUCUACAAGAAAAUUAAAAAGGCUUGAGCCCAGGAGAUUGAGCCUGCAGUGAGCCAUGAUCAUGCCCCUGCACUCCAGCCUGGGGAAAGAAUGAUACCCUGUCUCAAAGAAAAAAAAAAGAAUUUCCUUCCUUUUAAAAAGAUGGAAUUAUAUUCUAUUGUAUGUAUAUACCACAUUUUGUUUAUCUGCAGAUGGGCCCUUGGAUUGUUUCUACCUUUUGUAUCAGUGUGUGUGUGUGUGUGUGUGUGUGUGUGUGUGUGUGUGUGUGUGUGUGUAUUUCUAGAAACUUGUUAUUCUCCUGAGUGUUAAACUGUUUUAAAUGUUUGGUUUUUCAUUUCUAGAACAUUUUCCUAUCCUAAAAUUUACCUAUCUGGCUAUCUAUCAUCUAUCACUUUUCCUAAGGAUCUUUAGUUGUUUACUUUUUAAUGAAGUAUAAUAUACGUUAUGAUAGUGUAUUUUAUGUAUCCUCAUAUCCUUUCACUGUGGAUUUAAUUUUUAGAAAUAACAAAAAGUCACAUAGGGCAAAUUCAUUAAGCUGAGUGGGUGAUUAAGUUAACAAUAGUAAUGACCAUGUAUUAAGUGCCUACUAUGUGCCAGGCACUGUGCUAGCAUUUCACACCCAUUAUAUCAUUCAGUCUUCACACCCCUGUUUGGUGGUUAUUAAUGAUUACUAAUAUUCAUUUUAUAGAUGAAUAAACUGAUACUCAAGGCCUUAAUUGCCUUUCCUAGGGGUGCACAACUAGAAAAAAGGCAGAGCCAGAUCUGCACCCAAGUCCUUCUGACCCCAGAGCUCAUGCUUGUAUCAUCGCACCAGUGUUACUCAAGCUUUCCUGGUGAUUACAGUCACAUGUACUUGACAAAACCACAAACUGUUGGGCCUGUCCCAGUGAUACUGAAUCGAAAUUUACUGAGGAGGGACCUGGGAGAUUACACUGCUUGAACAGCAUGGUACCGGGGAACCAGAGAUCAACUUCAACCCUUCUGUUAGCUCUUAGUGGGCUGGUCAGCUGGAUGUAGAAGCUAAAUUGACAGCAGGCAGAUUAACAAGAGAAAAAUGUAUAAAUUUUACUAGUUUUACAUGUACUUGGGGAUCUUCACAAGAAAGUGAAGUCUGAACAAGAGGCCAAAGUAAGAUAUUCUUAUACUUUUUAGACAAAGAAUGAUAAAUUUGAGAAGAAACAACAGGAGAAAGAAAAUCUGGCUAGGACAGUAAAAUUUUCUAGGGGAGUCACAGGAGAUAUAUGAGGGGGUGUAAAGCAAGUGGAAGAUAAAGGUUAUUUUGUUCGUAAGUUUGUUUAUUCGGGUUCCUUGCAGCCUCCAAGUCUCUGGUGAUAAGGGCUAUUUUCUCAUCCUGGUAUGGAUAAAUCUCAGGGCCUUCGAAGAGUAUCCGUCCCAGAGGAUUCUUUAUCCCUUGCUCCAUACAGGAAGAUAUAGAUCAGCUCUUCCUUUCUGAAACUAGAAUUUCUCCAUUGUUUUCCAUUAGAAAUAAUCAACAUACAAAUUUUGGGAUGGCACAUCCUUCAGUCCUCCAAUGGUAUCUACCAUAUUUUUUUCAAACAUAUAACAUACUUUAAGGUAAUGAGAUUAGGUCGUGCAGCUCACAAAUAGCUCUGAAGGCAGUUCCUAUAGCAGAGACUCAAUUGUUAUGAGCAUUAGCUAUUGGCAUGACAGAAUAGGCUUCAAAGUGACUUCUUUGAAGGACAAGAUUUAUUUGAAUGUUCUGCUUUAGAAUCAUUAAAAUGAGCACCCUCACUGCCAUGUUGGCUCUACGCACAGUAAGAUUAGAGAGACAGCGUUUUACAGUGAAAAGAGUAAGUCAACCCUGGUUUGGGAUCUGGAUAAAUUGCUUAACUUCUCAGAGCCUUAGUUUCUUCAUCUGUAAAAUGGAUUACUACCCAAUUUGAAGGACUAUUGUAUACAUUAGAAAUAACUAUAUAUGCCUUGUCAUGUAGUAGAUGCUUAUAGCAGUUCUUAUAAUAAUAAAGCGAAGUCCCCGUGGUGUAUUGUAAAUGUGAACCACACUCCUCAGCAGUGAUCCUUGUGUGCUAAGCUAGUGGACCAGAGUUUCCAGCUGAAGUAGAUCUGGAACCGAGUCUUGAAAAAUGUGUGUAGAGAAGCUUCUGUACUUUUCUUAUGUGGAUGGCAGUGGCGAGGGGGCGGUGGCGGGUGCAGCUGCAAUACUUAAAAAGGAAUUCUAUUGUGGCAAUAAAUGAAUAUGGCAAGAAAUGAGCCUGGCAAGAAAUGAAUGACAAUGGCCCCUAGGUGGUGCUGAAUCAUCAUGGAAGUGGAGGCUGGACACUUGGCAUUUGCGGAGGUGACUUCCUUCUGGUUUGAAUUUCAAAUAAGAGCAGGACAGCUCCUUGGGAUGUCUGGGAAAAAAGACCAGGCAGAAAAGAGUCUUUUCACUAGGAGCGGGUGCAAAAUACUCUUGCCUGUGAGGCCUCUUCAGGUCUUCGGUUUGCUUUAGUUGGAAACAGGAAGCAGGGUCAGACCAACUUGUAUUCAUUUGCUGAGAGCUGUUGGAGCUGUGACUGAUUCUGACAGAUCAAAUACCAUUUAUAACACUCCUGUGGGGGACACUUUAACCGGGGAUGUUAGUGCUAGCCCCUCCAGAGACUAAGUAUGUUUGCGGGAUGUGAGGACCCCUGGAAUAUACAAAUAUGCAUGCUAAUGAAUUUUAACAAAAAUAACCCAUUAUUGUUUUCUGUGCAACACUGUGCAUUUCUCAGCUACACCUGUCCUUUCCAACCUCAAUUGCUGGGCAACCUAUUUUUCUUUCGGCAUCAGAAGCGAUAGCAUCUGGGAAGUGAAUCUGAUGAAUUCUGCCUGGCAACCAACAUCUUUCCAACUGCCAGAUCCUGGGGCAUGAAGAGUUAAUUUUUCUCUUCAGAUAAGAACUAACUCAGAAGGCAGUUCCAGAAGAAAAGUGCAUCCAAAUAUUUUGAACAAUGACAGCAUCAUGGGAAUAAGUGUACGGCAUGUCUCCCGGGAAGAGUAUUUGAAGCCCAAACCAACAGAUACCACAUAAAAUACAACAAUAGCCACUAUCUUUUAAGCAUUUUCCUCAAAGGUUGAUUAAAUGAAACACUUCAACUUUGGGGUAAGUAUUAUUAAUGCCCACUUUAUAGAUGAAAAAAUUCA